rnacentral:lncRNA from 1 species
GUGGAAAGCUUCAGAGAUAACUAAAGGGCUUAAGACUGGAAACUGAAGAACUCAGAAGCUCAGGAUCUCAGAGAGGAUGCUGACUGGUGAUGUCUGACCCUCGUUAAGUGUCUGGAUUUGGUUGUGGAUCUUGGGGAGAACAGCACCCUCUUGAAAGUGGACUUUCUAAGCGUCAAUGUAAGAAGCUGAAUCACAGCCUCCUCCUAUGGAAAGUGAUAGUUCAUAGAGAUGGCUAUUUUAAGAGUAUCUGUAAAGCCCAGAACUGAAAGUUUCAUUUUACUGGAGUCAGCAGCAGGUGGAAUGAUUGGAAUAGAGAGGGAAAAGAGACAUCCAUGUCAACGACUUCAUCAAGGUUUAUUUUUCAUUCCUUCCACAGUCCUGCUGCUGAAAUAUGGUCUGACUGCUUUGCUGUAUCAUUCGGGAAAGCACCAGCAGAAUAUGACUCAAGGCAAACAGUUUCACAGUCUCAUUGAUGUAAAGAGCAGAAGAAUUCAUCUUUUGGGUUGUUUACU